GCUGGGCAUGGUGGUGUGUGCCUGUAGUCCCAGCUACUUGGGAGGCUGAGGCAGGAGAAUCGCUUGAACCCAGGAGGCAGAGGGUGCAGUGAGCCGAGAAUGCGCCACUGCACUCCAACCUGGGUGACAGAGUGAGACUCUUUUUCUU
ensembl:misc_RNA Metazoa_SRP Metazoan signal recognition particle RNA